UAAACUUAUAUCACUGCUCUAACCAAUCAAGAAAUAUUUACAGAGACAUGUAUUUCCGGUGUGUUAAUAUUCCUUUGGGAUGCGCACGCAAUCAAUAAAGUAAACUUGAACUGUUCUAUUUUCUCGUUGCAUAUGUAUCGGUUAGUCUAUGAAGAGGUACAUGUAUGUACUAUGAAAUUUAGAGCCAGCGGCUAAUUUAGAGCCAGGGGUUUGUCCCGAACUCUUAAUUUCAUGCAUAGUAUAUAAAUUUUCAAAGACUAUCCAAUUUAGCACAUAUUUACAACCCAAGUCAUUUUUAAUUGGACUAUUGAUAGCCUUUUUAUGCUGACUACUUGUCUCACAAAUGUUUGUUAAACGGACUUUUAUGUUUUGUAAAAUUAAAUUUACUCACUAGUGUUGAAGUCAAAUAAGUGAUUUCAAAAGGUCCUUGACUCCGGAAUGAAAAGAUGGUAGCUACUUGUGUUAGUAUGUAUAUUGAUAUAAAGCGGUGUUGUACUACAUGUACUUCGUUACAUAGUAAGAUGAUAGAAUAAAUUGACCAAACGAAGGCAUAUAUAAUUACAUUGCAGUGGAAGCUUUACAUGUUUUGAAAGCAUUUUUCAAUUUCACAAUAAAACUAAAGCUAUAUAGUAAAUUUGAAACAUAUAGAUAUAUGUGCCACUUUACAGUCUAACAGGUAGGCAUUAACAUGCAACUAUCAAUAAAUUAAAGAUUAUAAGUUUUGUGUUUUUUUUUUUUAAUUUCAAAGUAAAAACUAAAAGAUUUAUCAGAAUAUAUGUAUAUUCCCUUCAGACAUUUUCACAGUAUUUCAAUUCAUUAUGAAAAAAGAUCAAUUUCCUUAAGAAAGUUGAACACAAAAAUCAUCAUCAAGUUGAUUUAAUUUCCCUUCACAAGUUUUCAUUGUAUACAAAGUAAUUGCAUUGAUGUGAUAAAUUACCACAAUUAUAAGAUAGCGUAUUCUGAUCAAGGCAUUAAGGACCAUAUUUGUUAUUCUUUAUUAAAAUGGAAAAAACAACUUGCAAUUGUCAAAAAUAUUUUUGAACUUCAAAGAUUUUAUUAGCAGGAUAUUUAAAAAUCAGUGUGAAAACUAAUUACAUUUUUUUUUAUUAGGAACAUAGCAUUUUAUUCCAAAAUAGCCAGUGGCAAUUUCUGUUUUAACAUCUUGAUUACGAUACUAAGAAAUCUUACCCUUGUGGUCAUUCAUGCAUAGUAACUUAGUACAUAGAAAAAUUAGAAGGCAAUUUCAAGCAUUUUGAUUUGACGAGCAGUUGUAAAAGUUAUAUCUAUAUUUUGGGUUUCACUGAUGAAUUUUGCAUAUAUAGUGUACAUGUGUAUCACACUACAGUGUUAGAUUACAAUAACAAGACCGCAAUAUACUAAAACGAAGAAUAAUAUAAUGCACAUGCUAUUGGAAAAUAAAGAAUUUAAAACGUAACUAAAAAUAAAGUGACAUUGUUUAGAGUAAAUAAACUUUGAAAGACACAAUUGCUAAUCUAAUUAUGAUAAAUGCCAUAGUAUCCGUUUUAACAACACUAAACCCCAGCAAAAUCAAAAAACAUUUUUAAAAAUGUAAGUUGAAUA
rnacentral:lncRNA from 1 species